CUGGGUCUCGGUUUCCUCGGUACCCUCUGCAAGGUUAAGGAAGUGCUCGCUGGGAGUGGUCCAGAGCCGUCUGUAUUUCAUGUGCACAAGAAAAGUCAAAUAUGAAUAUGUCUGCGGAUAUUCAUGCAAAAUGCGUUGUACCUACAGCAAAUAAUCCUUGAGAAAAGGAUGGGCCCCUCUUUGGGACCUUUUUAGGAUGUGGAACCUGACCGGACUUGAGUGGGAUGUGUGAGAGGGAGAGAGAGGAGAGGCUGGGCGAGGCAGGGAGUGCAUUCUGUGUAGGACUUCACGCGAUCAAAGCCAGAGAAGGGCUGCCCAGACUAUGUUUGCAGAAAAGUGAGCCCAGCUGAGCCGUUUCACAGCUUGCACUGUGGGGCGUGAGCCGGUGGAAAUUCAACUAGGGAAUAGACUGCAAAAGGUCUUGGGGCAGCCAAGAGUCGAAAGCUCCAUGAAGACAGAAAGACGGUAACUACGAUGACUGCUCUUCACUGGAUCCUCAGCCCCUUCCACAGAGCCUGUAACGGGACAAGGAUCUACUAAGUCUUUGUUUUUGAAUCAUUUGCUUGUGGGGGAAGCCAGCUGCCAUGUUGUGAAGACAUUCAAGCAGCCUUUAUGAAGUGGUUCACAUGGCAGAGAACUGAGGGCUCCUGCCGGCAGCCAGCGUCAACUUUCUGGCCAUGUGGCUGAGCCAUCUUGGAAGCAGAUCCUUCAGCCUGGUGAGGCUUUGGGAGGACUCCAGCCCUGGCCAACAGCUUGACUGCAACUGUAUGAGAGACCCCAAGACAGAACCACCCAGCUAAGCUGCUCCCGAAUACAUGACCCACAUAAAUUGUAUGAGAUGAUAAAUGCUUGUUGUUGUUUUAAACCACUAA